AUAUUUACCUGGCAGGAGAGAUACCAUGAUCACAAGGGUGUUUUCCCAGGGUCAGGCUUAUCCAUUGCACUCUGUAUGUGCUGACAUCUGCAAUUUCCCCAAAUGUGGGAAACUCGACUGCAUAAUUUGUAGUAGUGGAAGACUGCAUCCAUGCACUCCCCUA